rnacentral:ncRNA from 1 species
UCUUAUUAAGAGAGGUGGAGGGAAGUGCCCUUUGAAGCCCGGCAACCGUCAUGAAAGUGAAAUGGUGCCAAGUCACGCAAAGCUAUAGCUUUGGGAAAUGAG